rnacentral:rRNA from 1 species
CACGUAGGGGGCAAGCGUUGUCCGGAUUUAUUGGGCGUAAAGAGCUCGUAGGUGGUUCGGUAAGUCAGGUGUGAAACCUCCAGGCUCAACCUGGAGACGCCACUUGAUACUGCUGUGACUGGAGUCCGGUAGGGGAGCGUGGAAUUCCUGGUGUAGCGGUGAAAUGCGCAGAUGUCAGGAGGAACACCAGCGGCGAAGGCGGCGCUCUGGGCCGGUACUGACACUGAGGAGCGAAAGCGUGGGGAGCGAACAGG